GCUUCCUUAGCUCAGUCGGUAGAGCGCGAGUCUCAUAUUUCUUGAGAGGCGUUCUCGUCUUACAAUCUCGAGGUCGCAAGUUCGAGCCUUGCAGGGAGCA